rnacentral:snRNA from 1 species
GUCCUCAUUUUGGCAGUACAUAUACUAAAAUUGGAACAAUACAGAGAUUAGAAUGGCCCCUGCAAAAGGAUGACAUGCAAAUUUGUGAAGUGCUCCACUAUUUU